AUUGAACGCUGGCGGCAGGCUUAACACAUGCAAGUCGAGCGGGGGAAGAUAGCUUGCUACUGGACCUAGCGGCGGACGGGUGAGUAAUGCUUAGGAAUCUGCCUAUUAGUGGGGGACAACAUCUCGAAAGGGAUGCUAAUACCGCAUACGUCCUACGGGAGAAAGCAGGGGAUCUUCGGACCUUGCGCUAAUAGAUGAGCCUAAGUCGGAUUAGCUAGUUGGUGGGGUAAGGGCCUACCAAGGCGACGAUCUGUAGCGGGUCUGAGAGGAUGAUCCGCCACACUGGGACUGAGACACGGCCCAGACUCCUACGGGAGGCAGCAGUGGGGAAUAUUGGACAAUGGGGGGAACCCUGAUCCAGCCAUGCCGCGUGUGUGAAGAAGGCCUUAUGGUUGUAAAGCACUUUAAGCGAGGAGGAGGCUACUCUAGUUAAUACCUAGGGAUAGUGGACGUUACUCGCAGAAUAAGCACCGGCUAACUCUGUGCCAGCCGCCGCGGUAA
rnacentral:rRNA from 1 species